UACGAAGGGGGCUAGCGUUGUUCGGAAUUACUGGGCGUAAAGCGUGCGCAGGCGGCUUCUCAAGUCAGGGGUGAAAGCCCAGAGCUCAACUCUGGAAUUGCCUUUGAGACUGAGUGGCUUGAGUACGAGAGAGGUGAGUGGAAUUCCCAGUGUAGAGGUGAAAUUCGUAGAUAGUUGGGAAGAACGACCGGUGCGAAGGCGGCUCACUGGCUCGUAACUGACGCUCAUGCACGACAGCGUGGGGAUCAAACAGG
rnacentral:rRNA from 1 species